GCCCAGAGUCAUCAAUCAGGCUCUCCAGUUAGAAUUUUGCACGGCAGAAACUUCAGACACCUAGUUGCUAUCUUUGGAAAAGUAUUUAUGGAAUUUAUUUUCGCCCUCCAAGCUGCCGCACGGCUCCCUCCUC